rnacentral:rRNA from 1 species
GACGAACGCUGGCGGCGUGCCUAAUACAUGCAAGUAGAACGCACAGUUUAUACCGUAGCUUGCUACACCAUAGACUGUGAGUUGCGAACGGGUGAGUAACGCGUAGGUAACCUGCCUGGUAGCGGGGGAUAACUAUUGGAAACGAUAGCUAAUACCGCAUAAUAUUAAUUAUUGCAUGAUAAUUAAUUGAAAGGUGCAAUUGCACCACUACCAGAUGGACCUGCGUUGUAUUAGCUAGUAGGUGAGGUAACGGCCCACCUAGGCGACGAUACAUAGCCGACCUGAGAGGGUGAUCGGCCACACUGGGACUGAGACACGGCCCAGACUCCUACGGGAGGCAGCAGUAGGGAAUCUUCGGCAAUGGACGAAAGUCUGACCGAGCAACGCCGCGUGAGUGAAGAAGGUUUUCGGAUCGUAAAGCUCUGUUGUAAGAGAAGAACGGGUGUGAGAGUGGAAAGUUCGCACUGUGACGGUAUCUUACCAGAAAGGGACGGCUAACUACGUG